rnacentral:rRNA from 1 species
UACGUAGGGUGCGAGCGUUGUCCGGAAUUAUUGGGCGUAAAGGGCUCGUAGGCGGUUUGUCGCGUCGGGAGUGAAAUCCACUGGCUUAACUGGUGGCUUGCUUUCGAUACGGGCAGACUGGAGGUAUGCAGGGGAGAACGGAAUUCCUGGUGUAGCGGUGAAAUGCGCAGAUAUCAGGAGGAACAUCGGUGGCGAAGGCGGUUCUCUGGGCAUGUCCUGACGCUGAGGAGCGAAAGUGUGGGGAGCGAACAGG